rnacentral:tRNA from 1 species
GGCAGUUUAGCUUAAUCGAUAAAGUACUCAGAUUGUAUCUGGGAAGUACAGGUUCAAGUCCCAUGGUUGUCU